rnacentral:rRNA from 1 species
AUUGAACGCUGGCGGCAUGCCUAACACAUGCAAGUCGAACGGCAGCACAGUGUGUAGCAAUACACAUGGGUGGCGAGUGGCGGACGGGUGAGUAAUGCGUAGGAAUCUACCUUCAAGUGGGGGAUAGCCCGGAGAAAUCCGGAUUAAUACCGCAUGUUCUCUACGGAGAAAAGCGGGCCUCUGUUUACAAGCUCGCGCUUGAAGAUGAGCCUACGUCGGAUUAGCUAGUUGGUAGGGUAAAGGCCUACCAAGGCGACGAUCCGUAGCUGGUUUGAGAGGAUGAUCAGCCACACUGGGACCGAGACACGGCCCAGACUCCUACGGGAGGCAGCAGUGGGGAAUAUUGGACAAUGGGCGAAAGCCUGAUCCAGCAAUGCCGCGUGUGUGAAGAAGGCCUGCGGGUUGUAAAGCACUUUUAUCGGGAAAGAAAAGCUUGGGGCUAGUAUCUCCAAGCCUUGACGGUACCCGUUGAAUAAGCACCGGCUAACUCCGUGCCAGCCGCCGCAGUAA